AGUGAACGCUGGCGGUAGGCCUAACACAUGCAAGUCGAACGGCAGCACAGUAAGAGCUUGCUCUUACGGGUGGCGAGUGGCGGACGGGUGAGGAAUACAUCGGAAUCUACUUUUUCGUGGGGGCUAACGUAGGGAAACUUACGCUAAUACCGCAUACGACCUACGGGUGAAAGCAUGGGAUCUUCGGACCUUGCGCGAUUGAAUGAGCCGAUGUCGGAUUAGCUAGUUGGCGGGGUAAAGGCCCACCAAGGCGACGAUCCGUAGCUGGUCUGAGAGGAUGAUCAGCCACACUGGAACUGAGACACGGUCCAGACUCCUACGGGAGGCAGCAGUGGGGAAUAUUGGACAAUGGGCGCAAGCCUGAUCCAGCCAUACCGCGUGGGUGAAGAAGGCCUUCGGGUUGUAAAGCCCUUUUGUUGGGAAAGAAAAGCAGCAGGUUAAUACCCCGCUGUUCUGACGGUACCAAAAGAAUAAGCACCGGCUAACUUCGUG
rnacentral:rRNA from 1 species